AAACACUAAUAUAAAAGAAUCAAAGUAGCUGUUGGAUAAAAGAACAAUGAAAAUCAGGUGCAGAUAUUUCUCUAAUCUUUCCUUAUUUCAAGACAAAGCAAUCCAAAUUCUUUAGCAGAAGACAUGUAAGUCUUUAUUACAAUAGCCCACAGUGAUGAGAUCAACAAAGUGUGUUAGUACAGAUAAUUGAUAUGUAUUUAUAUGCAUAUCUGCAUAGGCCUGAAAUUGCAUAAUGUGAUGCUUGUAUAUUUGCUUAAAUUAACUAAGAUACUUAAUGUUGUCAGAAUAGCGUAAGGUGGCAAAUAUAAAAAUUAAUACUAACCCCUCUCCUACUUAAUUCACAGAUGGCAAAAGAAGAUACGCUCAGAGAUGUCUAUACAAUUAAGAAGAACAAUUCACUUUCUGCAUAUUCUGAUUGUUACAUUAACAAUGCCCUCCAGUUAUUUUGUGCUGCACUGAGACCACCCCCCUGUUACUAAUUCAGAGCCAGCAUAUCACUGUCAUUUGCAUAAAGUUUGCCUGCCUCUGGCAAGAAGACAGGAGAAAUGCUUUUUCUGAAAUCAUCAAACAAGUGCUUUUCCAAAAAUAAAUUGAGGAUUGCAGCCAUUUUUUAGCGUCUUAAAUAAAUGAAGCUUUCAGCCAAUGUAUCAAAUUAGUAUACAUAGAGAAAGCCUCAAAGACAGCAGUCUGUAUUAUACAUAGAGUACUUGUUAAAGUGUUGUUAAAGGGCAUUUGAAUUGGCAUGUUAAACUGAAUUAAAAAGCAACAGCAUCCGGACGCAAGACUAAUCCUUGUAGAGAUAUCUCUAGGGACUGAUGUAGGAUGUAAGCCUCUAAAAUAAACUUGCUGAUCAUGAUAUUCCCUUUUAUUCAAUCCCCAUUUCCUACUUCAUGUUAAAUAUGCAUUCUUGCCAG
ensembl:lncRNA